CCUCAAGACAGCGAUGAAAGCUCGGACGAUAUGGGUCUGGAAGAUCUGGCGACGAGGACAAUGAAAAUUCAGAAGAGGAAAUAAACGAGGAGGUUAUCGUGGACUUUGAAGCACACACGAUAUCUGACAACGACUUUCAUGGCAUUAAAACCCUCCUGCAGCAGCUGUUCCUGAAGUCUUCACGUGAACACCCUCUGAUCUGACUGACAUCAUCAUCCAGCAGAAUCACAUCGGCAGCGUCAUCAGAG